CUCUCACCCAGGCCUACCUGUCCUGGGACUGGGGCCCUACCCUCCUGGCCUCCUGCCCCCCUGCUGGCUGAGUCCAGGCUGAAUCCUCCUAAGGACCAGGAAAGGGCCCGUGAGGGAUCCUGACCUUUUCACACUCAGAGGAGACCCUCUGCCCCCCACCAGGAUGCAAGCUUUUUAGAGUGGUCCUGUCUGUCAUUUUGGUUGAGUGCUGUAUUCCUGACACCUGGAGUGGAACCUGGCAUAUGCCACUCGAGACGCUGCAGCCCAGCCUGUUUAUCUUGUGAGCUGCAGAGGCACUCACAGCCCCCACUGCGGCUCCGACCCCGGGUGAUUGCAUCUCUCCUAGAACCAAGCAAAUCAGUCCUUAGGACAGACGACUCAGGCAAACCAGCCAGCACCACUGCCAGCAGCACAAAACAAGCUUUCAGACCCACACGAGAAGACAAGAUUGUAAUGCCUCCGUGACAACAUUGCCUUAUUGAUGCAAG
ensembl:lncRNA